rnacentral:rRNA from 1 species
AUGGGGAGGAGCGGCCAUGCCUGCUCCGUUCUUGGGUCGCUGCUGCUGCUGCUCCUGCUGCUGGGCCCGGCCGCUGCGCAGAAGGGCUCGACCUGGAAGACGCUGAGUGGCGAUGCUCCAGCAGUCAUAGCUAAGGGUGGUUUCUCGGGCCUAUUUCCCGACUCCAGUGACCCUGCUUAUUCGUUUGCUGCCAGCAAUCAGGAUUCAGCCCAGUGGUGCGAUGUUCGGUUAACCAAGGAUGGCGUUGGCAUCUGCCUUCCAGACAUAAAAAUGGAUAACUGCACAACCAUAUCCGAUCUUUUCCCAAAGGGAAAGAAGACCUACCUUGUCAACGGUGUGUCCACGACGGGGUGGUUCUCUGUGGACUAUAACAGCAUUGACCUGACCAAUGUAACUUUGCUGCGAGCAAUCUUGUCUCGUACUAAUAGGUUUGAUGGAAGCUUCACGCUAGUUCAAGUUGAAGUUGCACUGUCGCAAUAUAAGGCCCCUGCUUGGUUGAAUGUUCAGCAUGACAGUUUCUACAGCCAGUUUAAUCUGAGCAUGAGAAGCUAUAUCCUGUCUAUGUCAAAGCAAUACACGGUUGACUACAUCUCAUCCCCUGAAGUGAGUUUCCUCAAAAGUCUAGUUGGAAGAGUUGGCAGGAAGACAAAGCUUGUGCUCCGUUUUCUUGAUGAAGGCCUUGUCGAGCCAUCUACAAAUCAGACAUAUGGCUCAAUACUGAAAAAUCUAUCAUCCAUCAAGACUUUUGCUUCUGGAAUACUUGUUCCCAAACACUAUAUCUGGCCUGUUACGGCAGAUAAUUAUCUGCAACCCUCUACUUCAGUCGUGGAUGAUGCUCAUAAGGCAGGCUUAGAAAUUUAUGCUGCUGAUUUUGCCAACGACUUUGCACUCAGCUACAACUACAGCUAUGAUCCGUUAGCAGAAUAUCUUGGCUUCAUCGACAAUGGUGCCUUCUGUGUUGAUGGUCUCUUGACUGAUUUCCCUAUCACUCCCUUAGAGGCCAUCGGCUGCUUUAGUAACCUGAACAACACCAAGGCAGAUCAUGGGGCACCUCUAGUUAUCUCCCACAAUGGUGCUAGUGGUGACUACCCUGACUGCACUGACCUAGCUUAUCAAAAGGCAGUUCAAGACGGUGCAGAUGUCAUUGACUGUGAUGUUCAAGUGACAAAAGAUGGCAUACCAAUAUGCAUGAGUUCCAUUGACCUAAUGGAUGUCACUACUGUUGCAUCCUCACAAUUUGCUUCUCAAGCGGGUGUCAUAAGCGACAUUAAGGCUGUUGCUGGAGUCUAUACCUUCAACCUCACUUGGGAGGAUAUUGCAAACAACCUGAAGCCUAUGAUAUCGAACCCAUUUGGCCAGAUUAGCCUAUCAAGAAAUCCCAGAAACAGGAACGCAGGAAAAUUCAUGAGAUUAUCAGACUUUUUGGCUUUUGCAAAAGGAAAAAAAUUGUCAGGAAUCAUGAUUACUGUGGAGCAUGCUUCAUUCAUGGCAGAGAAACUUGGGUUUGGUGUGGUAGAUGCAGUGAUCAAAGCUGUUGAUGACUCUGGUUACAGCAAACAGAGCGCCCAGAAAGUGAUGAUCCAGUCAACAAACAGCUCAACUCUGGUGAAGUUCAAGCAGCUGGCCAAGUAUAACCUUGUGUACAAGAUCGACGAAGUCGUGAAAGACGCGGCACCUUCCUCCCUCGCAGACAUCAAAAAGUUUGCGGACGCUGCUUCUGUCAGCAUCAAGUCCGUUUACCCAGAGUCGAGCAAUUUCCUGAUAAACCAGACGAAUCCUCUCGUCAAGUCCCUGCAGUCUGCUGGCCUUCCAGUCUAUGUGUAUCUGCUCAUGAACGAGUUCUUUUCUCAACCGUAUGACUUCUUCUCAGACGCCACGUCACAGAUCAACGCCCUUGUGCACAAAGGGGGAGAAGGAGGCGGAGUGGAUGGACUCAUCACCGAUUUCCCGGGGACGGCUCACAGAUACAAAUUGAACUCGUGCAGGAACAUGGGGGACAAGACGCCCUACUACAUGCUGCCUCCCCAGCGCGGCGGCCUGGUUGGGGUGAUACAGGAUAAAGCAGCAUUGCCACCAGCAAUGGCCCCAGAGCCGGUGUUGACUGUCUCCGACGUGGCGGAGCCGCCCCUUCCUCCGGUGAGCAACACCACAGCUCCAGCGCCCUCCCACGCCCCCGUCGAGGUCUCCGUCUCGAUCCCGAUCACUGCGGCGGUGCUAGUGCUAUGCGCUUCUCUGCUUAUCUGA